rfam:Loxodonta africana unplaced genomic scaffold scaffold_24, whole genome shotgun sequence.
GCAUUAGUGGUUCAGUAGUAGAAUUCUUGCCUUUUGUGCAGGAGACUCAGGUUUGAUUCCCAGCCAAUGCA